UUCUCUCACUCGGGCGUCAAGAAGCCCUUUUCUGAAGUUGUCCUCCAACGAGAGAAUCCCAAAAAAGCCCUAUUUUCCUCUGCCACUCUCAAUCCUCGCAGGACAAGGAGUUCCGAUCCAUAUUUACUCUAAAGCAUUCAAUCCAUUCUUCUCCAAACGCUGCGUUUCGAUCGAUCAUUGUGUUCAAGAUCAAGGAGAUGCCUCGAAAACCAACACGGUGCCGCCCAUCACCUAGACCUUUGCCUUUCACCUUUUCCCCAUUUUUUCGUACAGUUGCUCAAGUUGCCUCUUAUUGCAAGGCUAAUCAUCAAAUCCAUGAAUCCAAGUUCCACAAGAAAUCACCCCCUAAUGCUGCAGGCAAUGGAAUUAUUAAUCACACUUUGGAAGAGAAGAGUAAACAGUCUGAAUCUUCAGAUGAAGACGGUUCUGAAGUGGUUGCCCAAGCUGAUUUUGCCUUCUUUGAUCCAAAACCGGAUGACUUUCACGGGAUGAAAAUCUUGCUGCAGACGUACCUUGACAAUAAGCUAUGGGAUUUGAGUGGGUUUGUAGACUUAAUAUUGGGACAGACAACAGUUGGAACUGUUGUUAAAAUAGAGGAUGAUGAAGAUGAUGGAGUUUUCUCUCUUAUUACCGCACUUAACUUGGGGAGAUACAAGGGUCAUAAAUGUAUUAUGGAGCUCAAGGAGUUUCUGCUAGAUGUGGGCCAGGAGAAGGAUGUAAAAGAUGCAUUGAGAUUACUCUUGGGAGAAGAGGCACAAAAUGUGGGUCUCUUAGUCUCUCAACGUGUGGUAAAUCUUCCUCCCCAGCUUUUGCCACCUCUUUAUGAUGCCCUCUUUGAUGAAAUCUCAUGGGCUACAGAAGAUGAGCCUACAGAGGAGCUCAGGAGUUCCUUUUGCUUUAAGUUUUUUCUACUGAUUAGUAGAAUCUACAAGCAUAAGAAUGCAGGCCAAAGAAAAGGGACAAGAGUUGCCAUUGAUGAAGCAAUAAUAUAUAUUAAGCCCGAAGAUGAAAUCUUUCACAAGCUCAGCUCAUGGUCCUUCAGUUUUCCUUUGCACACGCAACAUGUUACAACUCACGAGCUAAGAAAUUACCAGUUAAUGGGGUUGGUCAUGGCAAUUGAAGCAGACAAAGUUUCUACAUUCCGGAAGGAGUUGCACACUUUGAUAGAUGAACCCUGAGGCUAUGAAAAGAUCUAGGUUUCCAAUUUUGGUACAUCUUCAACCUAUUUUUGGGGCUUUACCGGCACAGAGGGUCUGUUUCCAGAAGUGCUCAAUUUUGAGUUGAGGCGUUGAUAGGUGAAUGUUGAAAGGUAGCAUGCUGAGACAGACAUUCAAGCAUUUGAGAAUCUUUCUGCUAGUGGAAGAUAUCGCUUAGUUGAUUUCAAUUGAUGUGGCUUAGCUAUCAAAAAGGAUAUCGUUUAGUUGACAGGCCUACUACUCUCCUACUUCCAUUAAAGUAUCGUCUUCAAUUCAUUUUUCAACCAACUUGAAGCAGCUGGAAUUUCAGUUAUAAAAAUAUCUGGAAUUGGAAACUGAGUUUGCAAAACUAAUGCCAUAUUAUAUGCAAAACUAUUAACAAAGAGAAUGAAAAUAAAAUUGAAUCUGUAAUGUGUUUUACUA